CUUAGUAAUAGAAAUCCUUCUAUUCACAGUCUUUAAAAAAGAAGGAAACAGAUUUAUUUAUUCUGUGCUUAUUUCUAAUCUACGAGAUCCUCCAGAUAACACAGUUCUCAUGUUUGCCUCCUCUGUCGUUGCAGGUUGAAGCGGUGGAUUUUGCCACCGUGGUCAAGAUGACAUAAAAUCUUCCUUCACCUUUCAGUUCAUACAGAUAAUUGGCCUUGUUUGCGACAUUAAGGUUUGCAACCAUGUAACAGCGUCUUUAACUGGAAUGGCACUGACUUACACUUUAGACUCCAGUGUAUCCUCAUUUACUGAUCCUCCUUGUGUUACUGAAGUUUGCCAUAAUAAAGACUCUGUUGGGAUUCUAAUUAGUAACUUUUGAGGAGCACCAUUACCACAGUGAAGUGAGAAGGGCCAAUUACCAACAGGUAAUUACUGUUAUGGAAAUCUCUCUGGCACUGCACGCAGCUCCCACUGUUUCUGUGCUGUUGCUAAUGUGUAGCCACUACUGUUUGCUUUUGGCACAUAAGAACAGGAGUGAACUUGUGACCUGGACGUUCAUAGAGAGUGAGUCUGUAAUCCAGCUACCACUUGAACUUUUACCUUUGGGUUUUAACGUUUAGAAAGCAAUGGGCUUCAAAUCCAAAAUAUCUAUGAUUAUGAAUGGGAGUAUUUUUAAAGAACUACUGAUUAUCCUUUGGUUUUCUCCCUCGAGUGGAAACUUAGUGUAACUGCCGACGCAGUGAGGUCUUUUUCUCUCAUUUAUGCUGAACAGUGGUGAAUACAGAUGAGGUUGAUUCCAUAUUGUUGAAUCUAUUCAAUGAGACAACCUGGUAAUUGCCAUAGAAACAGUUUCUGCAGACUAAAACCUUAAUUCUACUUUAAAAUAUCAUAUAUAGGCCUAGAUCACUACAGAGCGUAUCAUCAGGCUGUGUAAACAAAAGUGAUUCUGCAUCAGAGAAACAGCAAGUCUGUCAUUCAUCCCAUCAGAUGCUAAUUUUGUUCCCACCUCCCCCCACUUCCAGCCCACAGCAUCACAAAUUGCACCUCUUUCCCCUUCAUGCACCGAGUCUUACCUCCCCAAUGCCUUGCUGCCAGUUCAGCUUGUCACUGGUGCAAUGGGGAACCGAGGCCAUGUCUGUGAAAUGAAUGUGGUCCUGGCAGGAGUGUCCCAGAUUUCCUAUUGCUACACAGCCACUUGCACAAGCUAUAGGGCCAACUGUAUCUGAACUUGGGAGUGGAGGUCCUGCUACUCAAUCUCCAAAAACAAAGAGGGAUGCUCCUUCCAACCAGUAUUUAUUAGCAGGCCACAGGGGAAUCCUGUUCCCCAUAUGUAUUGGUUUUGCUCCCUGUUCAUAUUCAUGUGUGUUCCUCAGUUUCUAGGCAAAUUUCUAACUGAAGGUUUUAUCUGCCCCCUUUUCAUGUCCAUGCCAGCAAAACAUGGAUGUAGGCAUGAUAUGUGUUUUCAUAAAUCUUAUGUACAUCUCUCUUUAAACAAAUAAAACAUUCUUGCUUUUUUUUUUUUUCUUUUUUCCAUA